rnacentral:rRNA from 1 species
CUUGUGAAAUAAAAAUAAGAGGUCCCACCUGCCCUGUGACAUAUGUUUAACGGCCGCGGUAUUUUGACCGUGCAAAGGUAGCGCAAUCACUUGUCUUUUAAAUGAAGACCUGUAUGAAUGGUAUAACGAAGGCUUAGCUGUCUCCUUUCCCCGGUCAAUGAAAUUGAUCUCCCCGUGCAGAAGCGGGGAUAAAAACAUAAGACGAGAAGACCCUAUGGAGCUUAAGACAAAAUAGUAGUCCAUAUAAAGUAACUUCAAAUAAAAGGUUAUAUUUUUUGCCUCCUGCUUGAAUGUCUUUGGUUGGGGCGACCGCGGGGAAAUAAAUAACCCCCAUGUGGAUUGAGAGAACCUCUCCCAAAACCAAGAGUCACCACUCUAAGUAACAGAACCUCUGACCAAAAUGAUCCGGUAAACACCGAUCAACGAACCGAGUUACCCUAGGGAUAACAGCGCAAUCCCCUUCCAGAGCCCAUAUCGACAAGGGGGUUUACGACCUCGAUGUUGGAUCAGGACAUCCUAAUGGUGCAGCCGCUAUUAAGGGUUCGUUUGUUCAACGAUUAAAGUCCUACGUGAAUCUGAGUUCAGACCGGAGUAAUCCAGGUCAGUUUCUAU